rnacentral:tRNA from 1 species
UCCCGUGUGGCUCAGUUGGUAGAGCAUGGUGUUUGCAACGCCAGGGUUGUGGGUUCGAUUCCCACUGGGGGCC